rnacentral:rRNA from 1 species
UACGAAGGGGGCUAGCGUUGCUCGGAAUCACUGGGCGUAAAGGGUGCGUAGGCGGGUCUUAAGUCAGGGGUGAAAUCCUGGAGCUCAACUCCAGAACUGCCUUUGAUACUGAGGAUCUUGAGUUCGGGAGAGGUGAGUGGAACUGCGAGUGUAGAGGUGAAAUUCGUAGAUAUUCGCAAGAACACCAGUGGCGAAGGCGGCUCACUGGCCCGAUACUGACGCUGAGGCACGAAAGCGUGGGGAGCA